AUUGAACGCUGGCGGCAUGCCUAACACAUGCAAGUCGAACGGCAGCGCGUUUGGGGUAACCCAAAUGGCGGCGAGUGGCGGACGGGUGAGUAAUAUGUAGGAAUCUGCCCAGAGAUAAGGGAUAACUUAGGGAAACUUAAGCUAAUACCAUAUAAGCGCGAGAGGGGAAAGCAGGGGACCGAACGGCCUUGCGUCUGUGGAUGAGCCUACAUCGGAUUAGCUUGUUGGUGAGGUAAAGGCUCACCAAGGCGACGAUCCGUAGCUGGUCUGAGAGGAUGACCAGCCACACUGGGACUGAGACACGGCCCAGACUCCUACGGGAGGCAGCAGUGGGGAAUAUUGGACAAUGGGGGAAACCCUGAUCCAGCAAUGCCGCGUGUGUGAAGAAGGCCUUCGGGUUGUAAAGCACUUUCAGUUGGGAGGAAGGGGUGAGCACUAAUACUGUUCAUCAUUGACGUUACCGACAGAAGAAGCACCGGCUAACUCUGUGCCAGCCGCCGCAGUAA
rnacentral:rRNA from 1 species